GACGAACGCUGGCGGCGUGCUUAACACAUGCAAGUGGAGCGACGAACCAGGCUUCGGCCUGGGGCAGAGCCGCGAACGGGUGAGUAACACGUGGGUAACCUGCCUCGAUGACCGGGACAACCCGGGGAAACCGGGCUAAUACCGGAUGUGCUGCCUUCACAUCAGUGGAGACAGGAAAGGAGCUUCGGCCUCCGCAUCGAGAUGGGCCCCGCGGCCCAUUAGCUUGUUGGUGAGGUAAUGGCUCACCAAGGCCGCGAUGGGUAGCUGGUCUGAGAGGACGAUCAGCCACACUGGGACUGAGACACGGCCCAGACUCCUACGGGAGGCAGCAGUGGGGAAUCUUGCGCAAUGCGCGAAAGCGUGACGCAGCAACGCCGCGUGGGGGAAGAAGGCCUUCGG
rnacentral:rRNA from 1 species